rnacentral:rRNA from 1 species
CCUACGGGUGGCAGCAGUGAGGAAUAUUGGUCAAUGGCCGAGAGGCUGAACCAGCCAAGUCGCGUGAAGGAAGACGGCCCUACGGGGUGUAAACCUCUUUUGUCGGGGAGCAAAGCGAACCACGUGUGGUUCAUUGAGAGUACCCGAAGAAAAAGCAUCGGCUAACUCCGUGCCAGCAGCCGCGGUAAUACGGAGGAUGCGAGCGUUAUCCGGAUUUAUUGGGUUAAAGGGGUGCGCAGGCGGAGGUGCAAGUCAGCGGUCAAAGUGCGGGGCGAAACCGCGUACUGCAGUUGAAACUGCAUAGCUUGAGUGCGCUAGAGGUAUGCGGAAUGCGUGGUGUAGCGGUGAAAUGCAUAGAUAUCACGCAGAACUCCGAUUGCGAAGGCAGCAUACCGGCGCGCAACUGACGCUCAUGCACGAAAGCGUGGGUAUCGAACAGGAUUAGAUACCCCGGUAGUC